GCUGGCGGCGUGCCUCAGACAUGCAAGUCGAACGCGAAAGUCUCCUUCGGGGGGCGAGUAGAGUGGCGCACGGGUGAGUAACACGUAGGUAAUCUACCUUCGGAUGGGGAAUAACAACCGGAAACGGUUGCUAAUACCGCAUAAUGCAGCGGCACCUAAUGGUGACAGUUGUUAAAGCGGGGGAUCGAAAGACCUCGCGUCUGAAGAGGAGCCUGCGGCGGAUUAGCUAGUUGGUAAGGUAAUGGCUUACCAAGGCGACGAUCCGUAACCGGCCUGAGAGGGCGGUCGGUCACACUGACACUGACAUACGGGUCAGACUCCUACGGGAGGCAGCAGUCGGGAAUUUUGGGCAAUGGGCGAAAGCCUGACCCAGCAACGCCGCGUGAAGGAUGAAAUCCCUCGGGAUGUAAACUUCGCAAGAACGGGAAGAAUAAGCGAGAGUAAAUAUCUUUCGCGAUGACGGUACCGUUUGUAAGCUCCGGCUAACUCCGUGCCAGCAGCCGCGGUAAUACGGGGGGAGCAAGCGUUGUUCGGAUUUACUGGGCGUAAAGGGCGCGUAGGCGGCCUGUGCAAGUCAGUUGUGAAAUCUCCGAGCUUAACUCGGAAAGGUCAACUGAUACUGCUCGGCUAGAGUGCGGAAGGGGCAACUGGAAUUCUUGGUGUAGCGGUGAAAUGCGUAGAUAUCAAGAGGAACACCUGCGGCGAAGGCGGGUUGCUGGGCCGACACUGACGCUGAGGCGCGAAAGCUAG
rnacentral:rRNA from 1 species